rnacentral:rRNA from 1 species
UAAGGAAUAUUGGUCAAUGGACGCAAGUCUGAACCAGCCAUGCCGCGUGAAGGAUGAAGGUCCUCUGGAUUGUAAACUUCUUUUAUCUGGGACGAAAACGGGAUUUUUAUCUCAAUUGACGGUACCAGAGGAAUAAGCACCGGCUAACUCCGUGCCAGCAGCCGCGGUAAUACGGAGGGUGCGAGCGUUAUCCGGAUUUACUGGGUUUAAAGGGUGCGUAGGUGGGCUUAUAAGUCAGUGGUGAAAUCUCCGAGCUUAACUUGGAAACUGCCGUUGAUACUAUAGGUCUUGAAUUAUCUGGAGGUAAGCGGAAUAUGUCAUGCAGCGGUGAAAUGCUUAGAUAUGACAUAGAACACCAAUUGCGAAGGCGGUCUCUUGAUCCGACACUGACGCUGAGGCGCGAAAGCGUGGGGAGCAAACA